rnacentral:rRNA from 1 species
UACGGGGGGGGCAAGCGUUGUUCGGAAUUACUGGGCGUAAAGGGUUCGUAGGUGGCUUGCUAAGUCAGACGUGAAAUCCCUCAGCUUAACUGGGGAACUGCGUCUGAGACUGGCAAGCUUGAGUGCAGGAGAGGAAUGCGGAAUUCCAGGUGUAGCGGUGAAAUGCGUAGAUAUCUGGAGGAACACCGGUGGCGAAGGCGGCAUCCUGGACCGGCAUUGACGCUGAGGCGCGAAAGCUAGGGGAGCAAACGGG